ensembl:rRNA 5S_rRNA 5S ribosomal RNA
GCCAGCAGCCAUAUCACCAUGCAACUCACAACUGGCAACCCACUGAAACUAAGCAGGUGUGAGCCUGGUCAGUACCUGGAUGGGAGACCUCCUGGGAAAAACUAAGGUUGCUGCUGGAA